UAUUGCGACGACUUGCAAUCAAGAGUGGAGGGAUAAGGGGCGGCGAUGGGAAUCGAGCCGGGAAUGAAGGUGGUGGUGACGGGGGCGUCCGGGUACCUGGGCGGCAGGCUCUGCCGCCGGCUGGUGGCGGAGGGCCACGCCGUGCGGGCGUUCGUGCGGCGGAGCAGCGAUCUCAGCUCCCUCCCUCCCUCCCUCGAACUCGCUUACGGCGAUGUCACCGACCUCCCCUCCCUCAUCGCCGCCUGCUCCGGCUGCGACCUCCUCUUCCACACCGCUGCCCUCGUCGAACCCUGGCUCCCCGAUCCAUCUCGAUUCUUCGCCGUCAACGUCGGAGGGUUGAAGAAUGUGCUGCAAGCUUUCAGAGAGACCGAGACGCUGCAGAGGAUAAUAUAUACGUCGUCAUUUUUCGCUCUCGGUCCUACUGAUGGAUAUGUUGCAGACGAGAAGCAGAUGCAUCAGGGGAAGGUAUUCUGCACAGAAUAUGAAAAAUCCAAGGCUAUGGCUGAUAGGAUUGCAUUGCAGGCUGCAGCAGAUGGGAUACCAGUUGUUCUUCUCUAUCCAGGAGUCAUUUAUGGUCCUGGAAAAAUUACAACUGGAAAUAUUGUUGCACGAAUCCUGAUUGAACGUUUCAAUGGACGCUUACCUGGUUAUAUAGGCAGUGGGAGUGAUAGGACAUCAUUUUGCCAUGUUGAAGAUGUUGUCAGCGGACAUAUAGCAGCAAUGCAUAAGGGAAGAGUAGGUGAAAGGUACCUUCUGGCUGGAGAAAAUGCAUCUUUCAAACAUGUUUUUGACAUAGCUGCGCUCAUCACGAAAAGAAAGAGGCCGUGGUUUCACAUCCCUCUAUGGGUGAUAGAAAUCUAUGGAUGGAUAUCAGUUUUCUUUUCUCGAAUCACAGGAAAACUCCCACUUAUCAGUUAUCCAACUGUGCGAGUAUUGGGACAUCAAUGGGCAUAUUCCUGUGAGAAGGCCAAAGAAGAGUUAGGUUAUAGUCCUAGAAGCUUGAAUGAGGGUUUGACCGAGAUCCUCCUAUGGCUCAAGAGCUUGGGAUUGAUACAAUACUAAAUCUGGUGUUCUGAGUCAGAUAGGAGAACCAGCAGUCAUGGUAAGGCCAUGAGGGAAAUAUGAGAAAGUAGUUGCAGGGCUUCGUCGGUGUCCAUCGGGACUGUGGAAGAGCUUAAGCUGCCUCUAAGAGGUAUGAGCGGAUAUCAUUCCAUGCAGAAAGAACAAUCUGCUGAGAACAUGAUGACAAACAUGAGAACCAGGAAGAGGAACCAUUCACCCUUACGCUAGGAUUGGCAUUUGGCACUUGUGAAGCAUGUGACUGGUUCAUGGAUGCCUAUGGUUUCAUCACUGGUAUCAUAUAUAACUGAUAGGAGUAUUUGAUGAACGGUAGGAUGUCAUGAUUCUUAUAGGCGAGCUUGAUGCCUCAGUUGCGGCUUGGUUCGAAAGAAUUAGAGAUGGAAGAUACGUGAAGCUAGAAGCAGUGGCGUCAGCUCUAAGAGUACAUGAAGUGGGUUUUUUUCUGUCUUAGAAUAAUGUUACAUGAUUAAGGAUUCAGAUCAUAUGCACAUCCCGCCCUUCUACGUUCUUUGGAACACAAACGUCAGAAAGGAUGUGGCCCAGAACAACACCAAGAGCUUUGAUGCUGUGUACAUUCUGCAUAAAUGAUCGGUUGGAUCGAUUCUGACUCUUCUCAAGCUCUCAUUUGAGCUUAUUGCUGUCUUACAGAGACUGCAAACAGGUUCGGAUAUUUUGUUGGAAUGAGGAGGCUAUCUCAACUUUUAUCCUGAGGAACGUCAACGGUGGAGCAUGACAGAUGGCUUCAGAAACGAAUUUAGGAACUGAUCCAUAUGAUUCUCAUGACAAAUAACUGAGUGUAUGGGCAUGAAUCACUCAAAUAAAUGCAUCAUGAGUUAGGACAUUUAAGUAUUUUUUGCUUGUGUGGGUCAAAAUUAGGUAUUUGAUGUAUGAUGAUGAUGCAGGACUCAUGCAUCAAAGUGUCAUGCUUUAUCUCAUAAAAGAUUGGGAAGCAUGCAACUCAUAAACUCAAAGAUGAUGCGAUCUUUACGAAUGAGUACAUAGAUAUUUCUAUGCAAACAAUAUUAGAUAUUUCUAUGCAAACAAUAUAUUUAUUUUCCACAUUGACCAUACAUA